GCAUUAUGGAAUUUUUCCAGUCGCAUUUCUGCCAUUCCGGGAAUAAUUUCUGUGAUUAACACGGGUUCACGUCAUUCCCAUUUUGAUACAAUUUGGUUUAUUUUCUAUUCACAGAGGAAAAGUUUACGGGGAUGGACAACAAGACGGGAUAAAAGUCAAGAGGCUGAGUGAAUGACUGGAAGACGGAAUUCAGCAAUUUGUAAGGACGUGAAGGAGGAAUAGCUGGUAGAGCAGUGAUCAGAGAAGGAAGAUAGCAGAGCGCUUAAGGUUUCAGCUUUUCUCUUAUUUUCUUCUAAAUUCACUAAUCAUCAUCAAUAUCAUCAACAAAAUAAAAUCAUCCCCAGUACUCGGCUUGGGACAUCACCUUUUGGAAAUGGAAAAAAUGAAGGAGCGAGAAAAUAAAAAAUUCUAUUUUGUGAGCAUUUGACAGGGAAAUAAAAUUACACGUUUGAAA